ACUUUUUAAGCUCCUCUUGUUGUUGGAGUUCUCAUUCAGUGUCUGACAAGAUGGGAGCUGAGUCAGUGUUGGUCUUUGUCAUUCUGGCUGUUUGCUCUGGCAUUGGUAUGUAUUUUAUUAAUUUCUUAAAAGCAAUUCUGUUCUUUUAUACCCCAAACUCAGGAAUCUCCUCUUUGAGUAACAGCCUUGGUCUUCUGCAGUCAGUGGAUUCCAGUGUAAAUAACAUUAAAGAAGUUCAAAUGGAAACCAAUGAGGUAGAAGCUGAGACGUCACUUAAGAGACUUGGAAACGUUUGGACUAGCAUAGCCGCUAGACGCCAGUCCGACGCCGCCAGCAACCAGACUGUGUCCGACGCCGCCAGCAACCAGACUGUGUCCGACGCCGCCAGCAACCAGACUGUGUCCGACGCCGCCAGCAACCAGACUGUGUCCGACGCCGCCAGCAACCAGACUGUGUCCGACCGCCAGCAACCAGACUGUGUCCGACGCCGCCAGCAACCAGACUGUGUCCGACGCCGCAGCAACCAGACUGUGUCCGACGCCGCCAGCAACCAGACUGUGUCCGACGCCGCGCAGCAACCAGACUGUGUCCGACGCCGCCAGCAACCAGACUGUGUCCGACGCCGCCAGCAACCAGACUGUGUCCGACGCCGCCAGCAACCAGACUGUGUCCGACGCCGCCAGCGGUUUCUUCUUUUGGUGAUCAGUCUUUUGCUUUGUAUUUCAAAUAAAUCAAUUUUAAUCGUAUGGGAACUUUCUACUUUUCUUUUGACCUUGUUGUCUGUCCCUCCAGUAGAGUUCGUGAAGAUAAAGGGAAGUUGGU
rnacentral:lncRNA from 1 species